rnacentral:siRNA from 1 species
UGAGUUGAGUUGACCUAUGAAUU